rnacentral:lncRNA from 1 species
GUAAACUCCGUGAAAAGUAAAAUAAGAGUUGUGGCACAGUAAGUGUGCAAUGUCUCUCAACAGCUUCUCUCUGCUUUGUGCACAUGGGAGGUUCUGUAGCAUAACAAUUCAGCAGGAUGAAUUUAUUGCUGUGCCAUACUCUAUAAGUACAUCAAGCACUAUAAGAGAUGUUAUCCGUAAAUCUGGAAAGAGAAUCUCUACAAGGAGAUCAACAUCCCUCUUUAACGCGCUCCGCAACAAAAAAGACCGGAGGACAGACAUGGAGAGAUCGGGUGUACUGUAUAUGCAAUACCAGUUGGGUGUCC